rnacentral:rRNA from 1 species
UACGUAGGGGGCAAGCGUUGUCCGGAUUUAUUGGGCGUAAAGAGCGUGUAGGCGGCCAGGUAGGUCUGCUGUGAAAACUCGAGGCUUAACCUCGAGAUGUCGGCGGAAACCAUCUGGCUAGAGUCCGGAAGAGGAGAGUGGAAUUGCUGGUGUAGCGGUGAAAUGCGCAGAUAUCAGGAAGAACACCCGUGGCGAAGGCGGCUCUCUGGGACGGUACUGACGCUGAGACGCGAAAGCGUGGGGAGCGAACAGG